UCCUAAAAUGUUCAUCUUUGUAAGUAAGUAAAUUGUAUUUGUAUAGUACUUUUCACAAAUAAAAUCACCAAGUGCUUUACAGUUGAGAAUAAAAUGUCAUACAUACACCAAGAUAAAAACAAAACAAUAGCAGAGAGAAACAGACAAUAACACAAGCC